rnacentral:lncRNA from 1 species
GAAACGAGCCACCAUAUGUACCAAUAAUACCACCACCAAAAAUCCCUUCUCCUAUUCGCACCCCUCCUAGUGUUCCAUACACUCCACCAAAAGCGCCUUCUCCUGGGAAUGAGCCUCCAUAUGUACCAAUUACACCACCAAAAACACCUUCUCCAAUUCACACUCCUCCAAAAACUCCUUCUCCUGGGAAUGAGCCGCCAUAUAUACCAAUUACACCACCAAAAACACCUCCAAUUCAAACACCUCCUAUUCACACCCCUCCUAGUGUUCCAUACACUCCACCAAAAGCUCCUUCUCCUAGGAAUGAGCCGCCAUAUGUACCAAUUACACCACCAAAAACACCUUCUCCAAUUCACACUCCACCAAAAACUCCUUCUCCUAUUCAUACCCCUCCUAGUGUUCCUUAUAGUCCCCCAAAAGCACCUUCUCCUGGGAACCAACCACCGUAUGUACCGAUUACACCACCAAAAACACCAUCUCCUAUUCACACUCCUCCUAGUGUUCCUUAUACUCCCCCAAAAGCACCUUCUCCUGGGAACCAACCACCGUACGUACCAAUUACACCACCAAAAACACCAUCUCCUAUUCACACUCCUCCUAGUGUUCCUUAUUCUCCUCCAAAAACACCUUCUCCUGGUAAUCAACCACCAUAUGUCCCAAUUACACCACCAAAAAGUCCUUCUCCUAUUCAUACCCCUCCUAAUGUUCCUUAUACUCCACCAGAAACUCCUUCUCCUAGCAAUCAACCACCCUAUGUACCAAUUACACCACCAAAAACCCCUUCUCCUAUACACGCCCCUCCGAAUGUUCCUUAUACUCCUCCAGAAGCUCCUUCCCCUAAAAAUCAACCACCUAAUGUUCCAAUUACACCUCCAAAAACUCAUCCCCCUACUUCCAAUCCCAUUCCUCCUAGUAUUGCUCCUUACACUCCCCCUGAAACUCCAUCCCCUAGAAAUCAACCACCAUAUACGCCAAAUCCUCCUAAAACCCCUUCUCCAAUCUCUCAACCACCCUAUGUACCAAUUACACCACCAAAAUCUCCUUCACCUAUUCACACCCCUCCUAAUGUUCCUUAUACACCUCCAACAACUCCUUCCCCUAGCAACCACCCUCCAAAUGUUCCAACAACACCCUCUCCUAUUUCUCAACCUCCAUAUGUUCCAACACCUCCAAAAACACCUUCUCCGAGUUCUCAAGCACCUUACAUUGAAUCACCUCCCAAUACUCCAAUAGCUCCUUCCCCAAGCAAUCACCCUCCAAAUGUACCAACACCUCCAAAAACUCCUUCUCCCAUUUCUCAAGCCCCUUACAUUCAAACACCACCAAACACACCUUCACCAACAUCACAACCACCAUACACUCAAACUCCUCGAAGCACUCCUUCUUCACCAACAUCGCAACCAC